UUGCUUCAGCAGCACAUAUACUAAAAUAGGAACAAUGCAGAGAGGAUUAACAUGGCCCCUGUACAAGGAUGAGAGAAUCUUGAAAGUAGCAAGAGAGAAGUGA
ensembl:snRNA U6 U6 spliceosomal RNA